rnacentral:tRNA from 1 species
GGAGAAUAGGUUAAUUUAAACUAACGGGUUCAUGUCCCGUCGUUACACUCGUGUUUUUCCG